ACGAGCGCCACUGGAAAUCGCCGUGAGAAGUAGCCUGUCGUCUCUCUCUCCGUCUUCGGCCCUUUGUCGCGCUUUCCUUCUCUGUCGCAUCGCGUACCGAUUACCACCGGCCGGAGUAGCAAUGAACGACCUGUGCCGCAAUGCCGUUGUACCAUCGGCGACCGUGCGGUUUCUCUCGUUUGGCUGUGCCACGAAAUCGUCGUAGUUGGCGAUCGAGCGGUAAACGCGACCGAUAUCUAACGGUGCCGGUCUCAAGUCGAUGGGAUCGCACGAUCUCUGCGAGCGGCGAGCGUGAAUUCGGGAGACGAGAUCGGAACAAAGUUAAGUCGAAUUUCCAACGGCAAAUUCGUUAAUGCACCGGCAGCCGGUGCCUUUUGUGCGAAGGAUCGGCGAGGGGUCGAAAAAUCGCUCUGGGCAUCGAAAUUAAACCGUCACCGCUCGAUCGUGGCCAA
rnacentral:misc_RNA from 1 species